rnacentral:lncRNA from 12 species
AUGGGGCGUGGGCCCUGUGGCCUGGCUCCAGGCUCCCGGCUCCCAGAUCCUGACUCCUGGCUCUUGGCUCCCGGCUCCUGGAUCCCGGCUCCGGGCUCCCACCUUCCGGCUCUUGGAUCCCAGCUCUCGGCUCCUGGCUCCCGGCUCCCGGCUCCCUGCUCCUGGCUCCGAGCUCCUGGAUCCUGGCUCAUGGCUCACGGCUCCUGGAUCACGGCUCCAGGCUCCCGGGUCCCGGCUCACAACUCAUGGCUCCCGGCUCCUGGAUCCCGGCUCCCAGCCCUUGGCUCCCGGCUCCCGACUCCCGGCUCCCGUCUCCUGGCCCUUGGCUUCCCACUCCUGGCUUCCGGUUCCUGGAUCAGGCUCCCGGCUCCCAGCUCCUGGAUCCCGGCUGCUGGCCCCUGGAUCCUGGCUCCUGGAUCCCAGCUCCCGGGUCCUGGCCCUCGGCUCCCAGCUCCUGGCUCCCGACUUCCGGCUCCUGGCCCUCUGCUCCCGGCUCCUGUAUCCUCGAUUGUGGCUCCCGUCUCCUGUCUCCCGGCUCCCAGCUCCUUGAUUCUGGCUCCUGGCCCUCGGCUCCCGGCUCCUGGAUCCCAGCUCCCAGCUCCCGGCUCCUGGAUCCCGGCUCUGGGCUCCCGGCUCCCUGCUCCCGGCUCCCUGCUCCCGGGUCCUGGCCCGCAGCUGCAGACACAGUCGUGCGUCCCUCACCGAGGCCGGGGUGACCUACAUCACUGCCUCCUUCCCGCCCCAGGUCCCGCGCAGGGUGGACCUGGCCCUGCGCUCGGCUCCGCUCCGAGGCCCCUGGGCGCUCCCCAGGCCUCCGCUGCCCGUGACCCGCUCUGUACUGAGCGGAAUCCAACCGUGUGGCCCAGGGAGCCGUGCGGUAGAGACCAACACCUCCCUCUGGGUGAGGAAGGGCCCGUCGCGCCGCAGGCUGCAUCCUUCCCCGACGCCCGAGGCCCGAUUUCGGAAACCACAGCAAGAGGCAGGUGCAUGUGGGGGGGAGGCCGCCCGGCCCGGUGGCCUCUACUGGGCGCCUCAGCCUCCCGGGCAAGACGUACCCUCGGGAGUCGAGAAGGGAAAACUGGGCCAAGCCCAGCUUUCGUACAAUUGCCACAAAAUACAAAGACUCCGCCUUGGAAGACUCGCCUCUUAACCCGACGGACGAGCCGGGCUGGCGACACUGCGAGGGGUACGACAGCAGCCCAUCGCCCGCCCGCCCGGGAACACGCGGCCUCCUGA